CAGCAGCCGCGGUAAUACAGAGGGUGCGAGCGUUAAUCGGAUUUACUGGGCGUAAAGCGUGCGUAGGCGGCUUUUUAAGUCGGAUGUGAAAUCCCUGAGCUUAACUUAGGAAUUGCAUUCGAUACUGGGAAGCUAGAGUAUGGGAGAGGAUGGUAGAAUUCCAGGUGUAGCGGUGAAAUGCGUAAAGAUCUGGAGGAAUACCGAUGGCGAAGGCAGCCAUCUGGCCUAAUACUGACGCUGAGGUACGAAAGCGUGGGGAGCAAACAGGAUUAGAUACCCCUGUAGUCCCUGUCUCUUAUAC
rnacentral:rRNA from 1 species